GCCUAAUACAUGCAAGUCGAACGCUUCUUUUUCCACCGGCAGCUUGCUCCACCGGGAAAAAGAAGAGUGGCGAACGGGUGAGUAACACGUGGGUAACCUGCCCAUCAGAAGGGGAUAGCACUUGGAAACAGGUGCUAAUACCGUAUAACAAUCAAAACCGCAUGGUUUUGAUUUGAAAGGCGCUUUCGGGUGUCGCUGAUGGAUGGACCCGCGGUGCAUUAGCUAGUUGGUGAGGUAACGGCUCACCAAGGCCACGAUGCAUAGCCGACCUGAGAGGGUGAUCGGCCACAUUGGGACUGAGACACGGCCCAAACUCCUACGGGAGGCAGCAGUAGGGAAUCUUCGGCAAUGGACGAAAGUCUGACCGAGCAACGCCGCGUGAGUGAAGAAGGUUUUCGGAUCGUAAAACUCUGUUGUUAGAGAAGAACAAGGAUGAGAGUAACUGUUCAUCCCUUGACGGUAUCUAACCAGAAAGCCACGGCUAACUACGUGCCAGCAGCCGCGGUAAUACGUAGGUGGCAAGCGUUGUCCGGAUUUAUUGGGCGUAAAGCGAGCGCAGGCGGUUUCUUAAGUCUGAUGCGAAAGCCCCCGGCUCAACCGGGGAGGGUCAUUGGAAACUGGGAGACUUGAGUGCAGAAGAGGAGAGUGGAAUUCCAUGUGUAGCGGUGAAAUGCGUAGAUAUAUGGAGGACACCAGUGGC
rnacentral:rRNA from 1 species